rnacentral:rRNA from 1 species
AUUGAACGCUGGCGGCCGGCUUAACACAUGCAAGUCGCACGAGUGGCGGACGGGUGAGUAAUGUCUGGGAAACUAGCUUAUGGAGGGGGAUAACUACGGGAAACUGUAGCUAAUACCGCAUACCAUAGGAUGAGCCCACGUGGGAUUAGGUAGUUGGUGAGGUAAAGGCUCACCAAGCCGACGAUCUCUAGCUGGUCUGAGAGGAUGACCAGCCACACUGGGACUGAGACACGGGCCAGACUCCUACGGGAGGCAGCAGUGGGGAAUAUGGCACAAUGGGGGCAACCCUGACGCAGCCAUGCCGCGUGAAUGAAGAAGGCCUUCGGGUUGUAAAGGACUUUCGGUGGCGAGGCGUUAACUGCAGAAGAAGCACCGGCUAACUCCGUGCCAGCAGCCGCGGGAAUAC